CCCUUAGAUGCUCUGGGCCGCACGCGUGCUACACUGAACGGUUCAAUGGGUAAGGUAGUGCGAAAGCAUGACCUAAUCUCGAAAUCCGUUCGUGCUGGGGAUAGAAGCUUGCAAUUAUCCUUCUUGAACGAGGAAUACCUUGUAAGCGUGAGUCAUCAUCUCACGCUGAAUACGUCCCUGCCCUUUGUACACACCGCCCGUCGCUCCUACCGAUUGAGUGUUCCGGUGAGGCUUUGGGAGAAUGGCCUCAACAUGAGUUUAUCGUGUUUUGCCGUUUGAACUUAGUCAAACCUUAUCACUUAGAGGAAGGAGAAGUCGUAACA
rnacentral:rRNA from 1 species